ACUGGGGACAAACAAAAGUAGCGUCGUCUCCACCGAACCAGUUGUCAGUGGCAACAUAUAGGAAUCGUGUACAUUUCUUCGUUUCUUCUUUGCUGUUUUCAGUGAGUGUUUUGUUUUCUCUUUGUCCUUGAUCUCGACGAUGUUGUCGUGCUCAUUACCUUACUGAGACGUCUCUUGUGACUGUAGCCAGUGUCACGGAGGAUUUUAUUGGCGUGACAAGGUAGAUCGCCGAGAUCGAGCGUGAAAAACGCUCUGCAUUAGUAGCUCCUGUAGAAUGUUUUCUGGGAUGGCGUAUCCAUGGUCAACAAAACCAAGGUGCAAGACAGCAUGAGAGAUCGUGUAAACGAUAUGAACUCCAAAAGAUAAUCUGGCUAAAUUUAUUGUAACUAGAGAGUGCAAUCGUGCUUGGGGCCCAUCCCAAUGUCAUCACAUGGCUGUGGUGACUAGUGAAUAUCUGGGAGAAUUUUUCCUCGACUGAUACGGAGUGCAGGUGGAUCGAUUAUGAGAAAUGCGAACAUGUGAAGUUCAAGGCUAGAUGCACUUCACAUUCGGCGUGCGAUCUCAGCGUCUGGGACCUGGUGACGUCUUGGUUGGAUGAUUAUUCAAGCCUGAUACUACUCGACACACCAAUGUACAUGUCAAUGUAAUUUUUUCAGAGUUGCACUAUUUACGUGUUGAUGCUUACUUCGGUGUUAGCGUGUUUCCCCCGGAUUGUUUCUAUCAUCAUGAUCGUGUGCUCUUGGGCUGAGCGAGCACAUGCACAAGUGUGCAGCUGUAACCCUGUGUAUCUUUGGUUACACUUUGUUCUGCAAUGCAUGUACCUUGUAACAUUAUGUGCUUGCACUGCUUUGUCUGGCCUGCGUAUUUCAGGACUAUUUAGUGCAUUAGACCCAGGUUUGUUUGUUUGCCGGAUGAUCUCUUGUUGCGUCGCUCUGUAUUUGUAUUCAUCAAUUUUUUGGGCUUGAGAAUUGAGGUGUUGUGUGGUUCCCAAUAUGAAAACAUCAUGCUGGUGCUCUGUGUUUCGAUUAUCGACUGUCGGAGCAGUCAUGCAUUUAUUAGCAGAACGGUCAAUACUGUAGUCUUUUCA